CUCGAGCCCAGUAGACGAGCGAAGGGGAGAGGAGUGAAGAAAGGUCCUCUACAUUUCCCUUUUCUAAAUCCUCCCCCUUUCUUCUGUCUUCCCCAACUCCCUCCUCUUUCUCCUCAUAGUCUUCCUCCUUCAUGGGGAGUUAGUGGGGAAUGUGCGCCGAGAUGGACGAGAGAAAGGAGGACGAAGAGGAAAAAAUAAGAGAGUGGGGAAGACCUACUGGCACUCGGCUACCCGGGAGAAGAAGAAUCGACCGUCAACAAAAAUAACAACGUUUGGAGGGAAAGUCCUUUUUCCGGCAACAUUCUGCUUGACUGAAGGAGGCCGGUUCUGUGCUCUCUCAACGAAGGCCUUUUGGAGCAUGGCGUCGGUAGCCAUGUUCGAGAAAGCCGCCAUUACUUCUUGGGAACAUUGGUUUGCAAGUCAACGCCUUCAGUCAGAAGAAGAAGAAUCGGACGACGUCAAUAUCUAUUAAAAAAUACGCAUGUGCAAAGCCUGGAACCAUGAAGAAAUUCGACAAUGAAUGACGCCAUAUUAGUGCUGAAACACAUGAAUGAAAAAAUAAGGAGUAUGCAACAUCAAUGCGUAGUUUAAAGAGGCGAUGUGGAAUUAACAAAAAACAUGGGAAUAAAUGAAUUAGUCAACAGAUACGAAACAUAAAGACAAUUCAAUUUUCGAGUAAGUCCCUCGUAACAUCAGUAAAGGAUCGUUGGUGAUUCAAGUUAUGUCCCUUUCCUCCUUCCUACCUCCCAAUUUCGUCUCCAUUCCCACAACCUGAGACUCCACAUAGUGCAAAAGACAGUUACGUAGCCCAAGCAUAGACAUUAUUUAGACGUAGACAGUAUUUAAGAUGAUAUUUAGACACCAAGAAAGACAGAAAGGAAAGAGGCCCGGUUUUAGACGCAGCUUCGGAAUGUGAGGAUCUCGUACAACGCAAUUUCCACCUCUUUUAUUUCCUUUCCACUCGGGCCUUUCUAAGCCUAGGGAUUUACUUCUAUGGUAUUUUUCGACGUCAGGCUUCAGAGAUGGAAUGCCAAGCAGCCCAUCUCUCUCUCUCUCUCUCUCUCUCCCUCUAUAAGCUUAUCGUAGCCUUAAGCCUCUUUGCGGAAAUACUUUCAAAUUCUUGGGGAUUCGUUGUCUUACUCUUCUCGUGUGUACAGGCUUGUGGGAUGAAGUUGUUGCCUCGUUCCUGUUCUGUAACUCAAGAAGAAGAAUGCAAACGGGAGGGCUUCAGCCUCUAUAAUAUGACGUCUUGAUCUUAGUGUUUUAUCCUUCGUUACCGUCUUCCUCUCUUGCACAAUAUGGUUUAGUUUAAUAUAAUGUCCUUCUAGAAUAUAAGUUCGUUUCAUUACGAGAUGAAUUCACUGUUAAUCUUGAAUUUGCCACGUACAAUAUUUAAGUAGUCUGGGCGAGUUCCUUCUUGUCUUUUUUGUGAAAAUGGUUUUUGAUUUAGUCAGUCAGGUAACCUAUAAACGCCUACUGUUUUAAAACUUUUGGUGGUAGGUCUCGAAUCUCUAGAUUAAGGUGGCUGUAUGCCAACACAUGGGUCCUUGUCCCAAGGAGCUGAAAGGGUUAAGAAGCUCUGUGUGGACCUCUGGACUCUACCUAACCAAGAGACAGCUAGCUACACGCAUGCAUAUUAUCUAUAUAUAUAUACACGCACACGCUCGUUCAUUAAUAGAUGUAGCAGUUAUUUAGAGAGGAACAGGAAAGCCCCAAAUGGCAGCUCCGUUUCAAGACAGAAAAAUCGCUCUCCGCUUCUUUGCAAUUGCUUUCAAUCGUCCCUUCAACUGAGAACUGACUUUGCAGUCUGUCGUUGAUCGUGAGACGCUGAAGAAGAUCUGGAGUGGAAGAGAGAUACAGGAGAUAGAUCGAGUUGCAGAUCAAUUGAAGGAACGAUGAAGAUCUUAUGAGUAGCUGUGUAUCAAGACUGCUCAGUUUGCUUUUCAGAUCAAGUCAAUAGCAUAAACAUAUAUUACAAACAUUGCUGCAUCGAAACAUCUCAAGAAAGUAGUAUCAAGCAAAGCUGUAUCGUAUCCAGUUUGUAUCUUGAGUGCUUUUCUAACCCUCAGUUCGGCUGUGCGUAAAAACAGUCAACGCUUUCGCCAUGUUGAAACACAUUUGUUAUUUUCAGUUUUAUUUUUUACUUAUUAUUAUUGUUUUGUUUUUGUUUUUUGUUCAAUUAUCUACGUUGGCGGCCGUUGUGCCUUCCUUGUCGUUAUGAUGGUGCUGGUAAUCUUUAAGUUCUGGAAAAGCAAUAAUAAGUUUGACACCCGCAGUUCUGCUUUGAUUUGCUUGGCUUACGCUUCUCGUGCAUGCUUUGCUUUCUAUCAUUUCCGUUAGUUCGUUUGCUUGAUGGUAUAUCUUUAGUGCGUGCUUGGAUGUUUUGAUUUGUCUUUUGUCAAAGUCCUGCCUGUAAGGACUCCACCUCGUGGAAUUCUGGCUUGGAUUCUUGUAUUUCAAAAUGGGGCGUUAUCACCCCUCAUCCACUUUUAUUCGGCGUUUUUCUCCUUAAUUCAUCUAAGUAGUAACUCUUCAAGCAUUCUAUGGCUCAUCUGUCGCUUUCAGUAGUUGGUUGUAAUUCGUAUAGACAACUCUUUUGCUGCCUUAAGUUAGUUGCUUCAUUGCGCUCCUGCUCUAUUUACAAAACAUAAUGAAUAAUUUAAACUCACACUUCUUCCAUUUUGUUUACAUUAUUCAUUUAGUCUUUUUGGUAUAUUUGUUGUGAUCACCUUCGUCUGUCUAACUCAUAAGAUAUUAUGAUUUUCGUUCUGUAGUCUUAGGUGAGUCUGCAUUACAGUUAGUUAUAUAAACAGUCUGUUUACUGAUAUCACUAUUGUUUGAUACGUCUUGAUAUUAUUCUGACUUGUCUUUAUUAUUACUAUUGUCAUUAUGAUUAUUAUCAUUAUAAGGGAAACUGGUAACUUGUUUGUUUUAUGGCCAAAGUAUUGUCCAAAACUAUUAUUUUUAUUUUCAAAUUCAGAUUGCUUAUCAACAUUUGCUUCCAUAGUUCUGGGCCAAGUUUUAAAAUGCUUCUUUUUUUUUUUUUUUUUUUUUAAGCCAGCCUUGUGCUGGCACGGGCUCUUCCUCCUGGAGUAGCCCAUAAUUCUGUCUAACUUCACUUUUACAUUAAGAAACUAAAAAGCAAUACAUUUUGUUGUAUUCAGCUACAUAGGCUCAAUGCACGUUUGAUGGUGUUUCUGUGCGUUACUUGUCAGUUGUUUCCUAUUAUCUUCAUUCCUUCAUCAACUUUUGGAUUGUGUUCAAUACUCUAAUUUACUGGGAUUUUUUCUUAUUAUGCCAUAUUCUAUUCUGAAAAAGUAAAAGAUUCUGUUACUUCCGCCAAAAUCACUACCAUUUUUGGCGUCUUUUAGGUAUUUAUCAUAGCUUAAGAUAUAAACCACGCCCCUUGGAUGAUUGAGUUGCCAAAGGUCUCCCGAUAUGCUUCCAACCACAUUGGAAUAUUUACCGAGAGUGUCUGUCUUCUAACUCUUGUUUACAAGAUGUGUGAUCAGUGUCACAGCUUAUGAGAAAUCUGCCAUUUGUGACCUAAUUGUGUAACUACCUUCAUUUCUCGUAGAAUAUUUCCAAACAUAUCAAUAAUCCUUUGGCUUGGUUCACAAUUUUGACUGAAUAAUGUUAAGUUUUUUGUCUUCAAGUUUUAGUUUUGUUACAGUAAGAUUCUUCUUCUGUUAUCUUUGAUGCAUAACUCUAGAGCUCCAGGCAAAGAAACCUGGGCCCUUCCAAAUCACGUCUUCCAGUAGACGAUAAGACUAAUAUGGAUAGGUUCUGAAGCUCUUCCAUAACAUUUAUUUGAUUCUGUAUUUAUUUUAUUUUCUUAAUCACUCCUCGUCCUCUUCUCUAAUUUUUAGCAAAGCAGAUUUUUUCAGUUUACUCCACGAUGUCGUUCGAUUUUAUUUUGCAAGUUUUAUGCAAGGUUAUUUUUUUAAUUUGCUGCUCUCAAGUUCUCUUCAUUUGCUUUUUUGGCUACUUAGGUACAAUUUGUCUAUCAUUCCAAUUUUAGUUCGCUGUUCUGACUUUUUUUCUUUUAUGGUUCUGUUCAACAUAUAUCGCUUUGUCAUGACGCUGAUGGCAGAAAAGCGUGUUCCUCAUUUGCCUUAUAUGAUAUUGACCCGCGUAGAUACAUCUCCAUAUUAGUUUGGCCUCACUUGAUACUGAUGAACGGGGCUUAUAUGGGUGGAUAUAAAAAUGAGUUUCUUAUACAAUAUUAACCAAGAUAUUGUGCAAGUGCUUCAUAAGUUUAAUUAAAAAAUAUCUUUUUCCCAUGCAUAUUUCACCUGACAGAAGUUAUUUGAUAUUUGACGUAAACAUUCAAGAGAAAUUUACUUUCGAAAGCCAUAAGGAUUUUGCUGCCUUAAGAACUAUAUUCCUUCAGUAAAAGGCUACUUUUUUCUGUCGUUCAGUUGGGAAAUCGAGGCUGAAAAAAAUAAAAGCGAAAUGUCUUUCACAUUCUACACUUGUCAGGAAGUCUUAGUCUAUUUAAUUAUUCUUUUGUCCUCUGUACCUGGUGAUGUUCACCUGAGGUUUUCUUCCUAAUUACUGAUUAUCUGUCUCUAUAAUUUUUUUUUUAUUUAUUUUUUGUUCGCUUCUGCUUUUAAGUGUUUUUAUAGUUUUUCUUGACUUCUCGUUUAUUUUUCUUAACUGUGUCACCCGUUUCGAUGCAUUUCGAAUCAUUUGGCCGUUUGACCUCAAAUUCAUGUUUUCUUAGCUGUCGGCAUUCACUACUGCCUUUCCUAAGUGUUUAUAGUUUUUAUUUUUGCUAUAUCUCACUAGUUUUCAUUUAUGUAUUCUCGCUUUCCAUCACUUUAGUAGUGUUCCUUUUGCCGAUCUAUUUUUUCUAUAAAAUUUUAUCCUUUUCUCGCUAUUAACAUCAUUUGCUCGUUCAUUUAUUUUGUUUUGAAAUUUGUAUAAUAUUUUUUUUAGCAUAUUUCAUCUCUUUACUUGUUUCCUUAACUUUCAUUAUUUCAUUUCAAAUGAACAUAGUAUAUAUUUCAUUUUCGCUCUCAUUACCUGCUCAUUUAUUUUUUCAGUUUAAAGUUUAGACAUACUAUAUAUUUUUCUUUUAUCAGGUUUUUUAAUGUACUGGCUUUAUAUCUUUAAUUUGCUUUUCAUUCUUUUUUUAACUUAGUUUAAUUUUCAAAGUUUAAUUUCAAUGUAGUGUCCAUUUAUGGUGUCCUUCAACUGCUUUUUAUUUUAUGAUUUUCUUUUGAGGCUUCCUGCGUCCUUUAUUCGCUUUUUAAUUACCUUAUUAUUAUCCUCUUUUAUUUGCAUUAUUUUCUGUUAUUUGCUUCUUUUAUUUCAGUUCCAGGUUCCUUUUAUUUGCGUACUUUUAUUACAUUAUUUUAUCAAUAUAUUUUGCCCUCGUACCUUUCAAUCGCUUUUAAGGUUCUCACUAAAUUAUUUUUGUUGAUUACGCUUAUUUAUCGUCUUUUAUUAUUUAAUUCCCCUAUUUUUUCCCCUACUGGCAUCUCCCACCCGUUCCCAUUUGAGUUAUAUGUAUAUUUUAUUUGCGCCUUGCUUUUGUUUCUUUUUCUUAAAACAGUCUCAAUCGCUAAAAAAAUAAUAAAAAAAAAUAUUAGAUACGUAAGACUAUAUACCAUAAAAUGUCAGUCCAUAUUUUGUACAUAAAGUUAUAUUAUAUAAGUGUAUAUUGCAUCAUUAAUUGCAUGGGAAACCGUAAUAGUAGUGUUUUUGGUAUAUAUACGCGAUAUAUAUAUAUUGCUACAGGUUUUUUUUUUUUGCCGUGUAGGUGAACAAAAUUUAUAUAAAUAAAUAUGAAUGAAUCUUU